GUCCACGCCGUAAACGAUGAAUACUAGGUGUGGGGGGACUGACCCCCUCCGUGCCGCAGUUAACACAAUAAGUAUUCCACCUGGGGAGUACGACCGCAAGGUUGAAACUCAAAGGAAUUGACGGGGGCCCGCACAAGCAGUGGAUUAUGUGGUUUAAUUCGAAGCAACGCGAAGAACCUUACCAGGGCUUGACAUCCCACUAACGAAGUAGAGAUACAUUAGGUGCCCUUCGGGGAAAGUGGAGACAGGUGGUGCAUGGUUGUCGU
rnacentral:rRNA from 1 species